rnacentral:rRNA from 1 species
ACCUCCCAACCCUGUGUCUACUCAACUUGUACGUGUUGCUUCGGCGGACCGGCGUCGCAAGAUCGCCGCCGGGGGGUGUUCAACCCCCUGGAGAGUGUCCGCCGAUGGCCCAACCAAACCACAUUAUCAAAACCAAAACGAUUGAACCCUCCAUUCUGAAUCAGACCAUUUUGAUAUACCAAUCAAAAACAAAACUUUCAACAACGGAUCUCUUGGUUCUGGCAUCGAUGAAGAACGCAGCGAAAUGCGAUAAGUAAUGCGAAUUGCAGAAUUUCCGUGAGUCAUCGAAUCUUUGAACGCACAUUGCGCCCUUUGGCAUUCCGAAGGGCAUGCCUGUUCGAGCGUCAUUAUCCUCCCUCAAGCCCCCGGGUUUGGUGUUGGACCGCGUUGGAUCGUUCGCGACCAACUGGUCUCAAAGACAAUGACGGCGUCCGUGGGACCCUCUUCGCACUGAGCUUUCCGGAGCACGCGUCGAGUUUCAAGGUGUCACGGGCCCGGCCUCUAAAACGAAUUUUUUUCA